UGAAUUUCGUAAAAGGACGAAUUCUCUAAGAUCGAUCAAACUACCUUUUACUUUACAUUUCGUAAAAAGAUGGAUUCCCUAGGAUUGUGUACAAAACAAGUUUAAUUUUCAAAAUAUCCAGAUUGUUUGUUCAAAUUUUAAUUUUUCUGGGUGCCAAUAGUCUCUCUCUUCAUAAUACUGUGGCUAAUGGCACCGGGUGCGAUUAGCAUUAGAAUAAUAAAGAAACUAUAGGCACCUGGUGCCAUUAGC